UUAUAUUUAUUUCUAGAUAUCGAAAUAAAAGAGAAGAGGAUUGUAUUUUCUCUCGAAUUUUAAGAUAAUUUUAAGGGAUCAAAUAAUUUUUCAAAAUUCUCUUUCUGUAAUUUAUUUAUCAAAGAAUUCGAAGACUGUGUUAACAAUAUAUACACUCGAUCCUGUUUUCGUUUUAAAAUCGAACCACCACCAUCUCUUUCAACUUCCGCCUUCCCAUCAACGGGUGUCUUUCAUUCGAUCAGUGAACGGUUUCUUCUUCGACAGACAAGUCGUCGCCACGUAUUGGACAUCGAGGUCAAACAUCAAAUCCCACAAUUCGAUGCUCGAAAAAACGUAUAAAAAAAGUAUUUUGCUUCGAGAACGAAUGGAUAAAAUUAUGCAAUCGAUAUCGUCAAAUUUAUUUUCAUAUUUUCUUCAAUUUUUCUCCUUGAAAUAGUUCUGUUGAAUACUCUAUGUAUCAAAAACCUGAAGUCAUUCAACUUUUGAAUAAUAAUAAUAAUCUAAUAAUUACCUAAAUCAUUCCUUUUGAUUUCAAACAAUCAUAUCAAAUAGCGACGAUCAAUCAGAAUUCGAAUCUUUCGAUCCGUGGAGAGGCUCUCAUUCGAGGGAAUCGAUCAGUAUCUCAGCUCUAACAUUCAUUCAUUGGCGUGGAACUAUUGCACGUUCGCUCACCACCCACGUACACCAUCGAACCCAAUGUCAUCACAUUAAUUUUCAUCGUGGCACGAUUACAAGCUUUGCAGAAAUAAUAUUAUUCGAAUCCGUGUCGGAAGUGUCGAUUAUUUUGUUUUCGUUUCUCGCGUAAUUUGGUUUGUGUCAUUGGUUUGUGUAUUGUUGUCAUAAACAGUGUAUAAAAGUAAAUGGAAGAGAACUAUUUUGAAUUUGGAUUGGAAUCGUGUUCGCUGGUUUAUUUUGGUUUCGUGUAUCGGAGUGUAACAAUGUGUCGCGGCGUAUCAUCAUUUGUGAUUUGUAAUUGCCUUGGAUCGGAGAAGUAAGAAGAAGUAUGGGUGAACGUGGAAGAGAAAAUUCUGUAUGUAAUGAUGCCGAAUGAUGCGCAACUUUUGUAGCUGCGAAACGACGAUACGCGGAAAGCCGAUACAUCGGCCGUCCCACUUCGACGCCAGUGAAAACGAGAGCAUUGUGUUCCUCGGAGAGCAGCGACGGGGUGGUCGACCGACCGGAUAUGGAUGGGAUGAGGUUUGUUACGCGGAAACACGGAGAAAAUGGCGCCAGUAGAGGGAUUGUGCAACGUAGAAAUCGCGUGUUUGAUAGAAAAUGGGCUAGCACUCUGCGUGGCAUAGGUAUUUUUUUAUCUUCGAGAGAAAUAUUUUCGUAAGUGGUUGAAAAUAAUUAUUUACUAUUUAAUAUUCUCGUAAAUUUUCGUUCUAUAUUUUGACACUUUUUAUUAUAUUGUUGUCUCCAAUCAGUAUAUAUAUAUUUUCUCUUUAUUUCCAACUUGUACGUUUUAUUAUAAUUCUGCACGCAUUUCUCCCUCGAGAUACACUAUUCAGAGACAAAAGGGAUGCGGCGUAAAUACGGAGAUGAAAAAUACCCCACAUAUUUCCCCGGUAACCCUUGAACUUUGACACUUGCAACGUUUCAGGUCGUCCAGGCGAAUGAGAUCGUCGGUUUAAUAUUCUUUCGAAGUUUUAUCAUAACGAACGUUAUAAUGGGGAAAAUGGAAACGAAAAAGAAAAGGAAAUUUCAUUUCGGAGUCGACACUUGGGUUCCCUCGUUUUUUCUACAACAUGCUUCUUUCGGCAAAUUCGAUUUAAAAAAAUGUGCAGAAUUCAAUUAAUAAAGGGUGAUACUUAUUUAACCCUCGAGAAAAUGGUUAUUCACGAAAAGAUGAUGCAACUCUUUCGACGAUUAAUAUACAACAACCUAACCUAAACUGUUAAUAAACAACUUUUAUUCAAUGUAAAAACCUUGACGACAUCGAAGGAACAAUGAUUUUAACUUUUAAAGGAAUAUACGAAAGAUAUAUAUUUUGCUAAUUGAAAAAAAUUAGUGAAUUGUUACAAAUUCAAACUCAUUUGUAUGAAAUGAUCUAUUUGUACAAGAAUCAUAAGAAUCAGAAAAAACAAACGCGGGACGUUUUCAUUAUUUAUACAAUCCUCUAUCCACGAGAAGCAACCAGGAAGGAGUUUUUGAAAAAUAGGCGUGGAACAUUUUUAUUAUUCUCACCUGCAUAAAUCUUCGAUCCGUGAAGGGAAACAGGACGAAAGCUGCGGCGCUUCCGCCGAGUUACUUAGUUACACCCACGUCCGAUCCUUAAAGGAUUAAUACAUUGCGAAACCCGCGUACACGCAUGAAUCUGGUCUUUAUGAGCUCGAGACCUCAAGUGUGGCCGGGUGGUCCCGAAUUUUACCGGCGCCACGUUACGUGUCGAGCCAUCUGCAACGUUCGCCUCAGGCCGAUAUACGUGUUAUGCUAAUUGUUCCGAAUACGCCGCCAUAAAUAUUUUUUAUUACGUUCCACCGCGGACAAAGAGGUAUCGCGAGAGGGUACACGACGAGACGAGAAGAAGUUACCAUUUACAGCUGCCGUUUUGAAUCAUUGUGUCACAUUGUUCGUCCGCGAUUGAAUUUUCUCGUACAUUUUUAAUCUUUUUGUAAAUCUGUUUCUUUAUACGUAAUAUUAUAAAGGAGGGAUGAAACUCUUUCACCAAAAAAGGUACAAACUAGAAAACGAGACAUUCAUUCCACUAUCUUAAUCUCUUUCAAACGCUGCGAAAAAAGAAAGAAGACGAUAACAACAACGAAAAGAAGAAGCAGAAAAAUCUAAUCCCCGUUUCGCAUCCUCCACGUAUUCUUCCCAUGUAUCGUUGCAUCUUACGAGCGAGCCAACAUACCCGCCGAUUUCAUUGUAGCGCGCUCUUGUAUCUAAAUUAAGCGCCGUGUCGCACAAUCGUGCCCGUACGCGGAAACGUAACAUUUGUCGCGCUUAAUUUGCCGGCGUCCCGAUUAAAGAACGUUCUUUCGCCUCUUUAUCGAAGCUGCGAGGCCUUAACGAGGCGAGGAGAGCCACGAAACCGCUGAUACCGUUCGAAUUAGAUACCGUGGAGUGAGGGAUCAGAUAAGCGGGGGCUCUUUAUUGGCCGCCAAUUACGGGCGCAUACGUCGAAUGCGGUGGCGCUUUACCGUUGAUCCUCAAUUAGUUAACGAGCGAGUUUUCCCUCGUUUUCGACCGGUCGAAGAAAGCCGGAAAAAUGGGUCCGGAUAUGAUAUAUACAACCCUUUCGCGAGAAGGUUGCGCGCCACGCGUGCUAUCUCUCUUUCCCUUUCUCUCUCCUCUUAGCGGUAAUUAAGAAUCCACGAGUGACGUUUUACCGUUGCUCGACCGUUGUUUCGCUUCUUGUCUCGUGCGGUAGCGUGAGCUGGAUUUCAUGUCUUGUUGCUUUUCGGAACUCGGCAACGGGAACUCCUCCUCGGGUUUGGGGAACUGGGUUGGCUGGUGUCUCGAGGCCGGAAAGUGUGUGAUUAAGAGGUAGAUGGGAGGAUUGGGUGUUGGAGAUUGAAUUAAUUUUGUUUAGACGAAGUUUUUUUCCAUAUAGAUUUCACACGUGAACAAGAAUUGUAAUUGCCUGUAAAUUUUAUUCGCGUGAAGGGAAAUCAUCCUGUCUUAUCGUCAUCGAUAAAGUGCAAAUUCUUAAAAUUGCUCGUAACUUCGCGAUAUCCUCCCCCGAUAAAAUUUGCAACGAGUUCGAUCACGGAAUUAAUUUCACGAGUUUUCGCACGGAAACCAGUACUCUCGCUACGGAACUUCAUUACGUUGAAUAAUUAUGAGCUGCGAGAAAAUCCGGUUUACAUUGGAAAUUGAGAAAGAAACGGCGAGAGGAGAAAAGAAAGGAAGAAAAAUAGAAGAAAGAAAGAAAGAAAUCGAGGUAGAUGGCAGGCUCGAUACCGCUUCCAGGACUCGUUCUCCCUCCCCCUCCCCUCCCCGUCGAAAAUAUCGGGCUUAAUUUAUGCCCCGUAAUAGCACUGUCUCUAAUUCCGCUCCGUAGUGCGGCUAUGCGAUCAGCAGCUUCUUUUAAAACGGCGGCGGAACCAACACGCCGACGGUUGCGUGCGCCUCGCUCGAGUUCGACGAAGGCCCCGGAUAGGGCUCCUCGCAGCGCGUAUAUUCGCGCGGGUACACGAUAGCAGCACGGCCUGCAACCCCCUUGAUUUAUUUAAAUCGAAAGCGUGCCAUUAAUCUAGCGCGAAACGGUGCAGGAGCGUAGUAGCGCGCUGGUAACGAAUCCCUCCAAGACUUGGAUCGUGCGUGGCAGUAACACGGUUCGUCUUUGAGCUCGUCGAUAGUUAUUCAACGCUUUGCAUAGUUGGAAUUUUUGACGAUUUGCUGGAUGAUUGUUAUAGGGAGUUUUGUUCGAUCCUGAAUAAAAUGAAGUUUUGAAUGUUGUUGAAAUUGUUUGAUCCUGAUAGAGAAUAAAGUGAGCUUCAAUGGUAAGGUGUUAGAUACAAAAUGAUGUAGUGAUUCUAAUGUAUUAUAAUUAAAUAUCCUGUUUAUAGAUGUAGCGAUAGGUUGUGUUUCAUGAUAGAUUUUCAGAAUAUUGAGAGACUGAAACUUCACUUUCAAUUGGGACAAUUUUUUCCCCAAUCAAUGGCGUUUAAAUCGACUUAUCUGAAUCUAGCAAAUUACCGCAUUCACUGGACGAGAUGGCCGAUAAAUUCUCAAACAAGUUUAAUAGCUAAAUAUCGUUUCAACGUGUUUCCGAUAAGAAAGACAAACUUUAUUUCAAUAAUACCAAAGCAAUUCAAGUUUUAAUCCCGUUCUUAAUCCUCUUAUUCAGAAACAUCUUUUCAACGUUGUGUAUCCUUUUCCAAGUUUCCUCAAACUUUCCACUUGUAAAACACACCAAUUCUCAUUACGAUUAUUCGAUCCAAUCGAGUCUUGAGCAAACUUAUCCAAACUUCUUCAAAUUCUCCAAUUUAUAAAUAAACGGAAUAAUAAAAAGGGAAAGAGGAAUCUCUACAAACGUCGCGUUCGAUUCCACGAAAGUUGCCACGAGGGACAAUACUCGAUACACGUACUCUCCCUCCCCUCCCCCUUGAUCCCAGAUAACUCGAAUCGAGGGAAAAAAUCGGGAUCCCCUUCGUCCGCUGGCUCGUGUGCUAUUUUAAACGGUACGAGACACGCCGCUCGCGCGUAUAUAUACAUAUGCACGUGUACAUCUCAUUUGAAUAUGCGUACACGCAAGUGGCCGUACGCGGCGAGACGGCCCGGGCUCCGUUUACUAAUGAACUGUAUUAUUCGCGAUAUACACUCGGCCGGAUUUACAUUAACACGGCUUUUAUUGCAUUUCAUUAAAUCGCCUCUUAGAGGUGCCACGGGCACCGACGACGAGCCACGGGUUCGUCGAUCGCCCAAGUACCAAGUUCCCUUUAAUCCUGACUAAUUGCCCGGGCCCGAUAACCAACCACCGCUCGGCUUUGCCCCGCCAUUCGUCGCCUCCUCGAAUUAUCGCCGAGAAAAAUGAUCGAGCGUCAAUUUUUACCUGACUUAUUAUUUAUUUGAGCAUUUCUUUCUUUCUCUUUUUCUUUUGGUUCGAGGAAAGUGACAAAAUUUCGCGAAUAUAAUGGAUAAUAUAAUUAUUUGUUAAAAUAUUAUCCAAUUGACCAAUUUCGUCUAAUCGGAUAUUACACGAUUUUUCAUUAAGCAUCCUAUCACUUCCAGAUCUCCACAUUGUCAAAAUUCUUCCCGCCUUGGAACUUUCUCUUCGCGGGCGUAUGUACAUAGGGUGUCCUAUAACAACCAAUCAUAGGGAGUGAUUAUACGUGAAAAUAUAUAAAAUAGAAUUUUUUAGGAUUUAAACGAUUUUAAGCGCAAUUGAAGUUGGCACUCUGAUGAGAAGGUUGUGAUAAUAAAACGAUUCUCUGAUGGAUUAAUUUUGACAAGGGAGGCAAGGAGCCACGCUCGAUUUCACGGUUCCGUGAUCAUUCGAGCCGUGAUCUCUCUGGAUCAACCGCGGUGGGGUAAUCGGCUGUCUAAUCUACGUGGAAAUUAAUCAUUGUCAACGGUGCGACGUUGGCUUGUCGAAUUGUUCGGACAAAUUCGUAGCGAGGUUUCAUGCGUCGUUUGCCGGAAGUACGAAACAAGGUAUCAACGUCGCAAGGAACACUCGGUUUCGAUCGUGAAACGAAUCCUGUUGCACUCGAAAUCGGUCGCCACGGAAUAGAACUCGCCGCUGGAGCGAAAAAAAAAAGAAAAAAAAAUGGACGGCGACAAGUACCGUUAAGCCUCUAAUUAUCAGUCUAGUUUCUCAUAAAUCAACUGACCGCGCCGCUGUCACGUAACGUAGCGCCGUUCCCGUGUACCACAGCGGCAGAAAAUUUCUUUACAAGUCGUAACUGUGACUCAUUAGCGCCGCCUUUUCACAAGGAUCGGCUGGAAACGGCCGAUAAUGGCCCUCGCUUGCUUCGCAGACUACGACGUGGCCGGAGGUCGUUUUAUUUAUUUAUUUCGCCUCCUGGUUCCUCCAUUGUUCCUCCUCCAUUGGCCGAGUUGUUGGCUUGUUGCGACGAUCGAAUUGGGGAUAUUUGCGAGGAUGGAUUCGAUUCGCAUUUUCAUUUCUCUUCUUCUCUGUGAGUUUAGUAUCUCCGAAAAGAUUAACUAGCAUUAAAAAGAUGUAAGAUUUUUGGAUUUUGAUGUCAUCAAAGAUCUAAGAUGAUCACUGGGAUGUUCGAGUAAAACUUUAUUAUCGAUAUGAGAUUUAAUUUUUUACGCGCUACUUACGAUUUUGAAAAAUUGUAUAUAACGAAUUGGCAAGAAAUGGUGUUUUUUUAUUUUUUUUUACUCGAAAUGAAAACGUCAUUCCUCUCGGCAAUUGGUCGUAAUAGGGAUUCUUCUCUACCCUUCCCUUCCCUUAAGCGGACGUAAAUUCAAGUUUUGUGCUUUUAAAGAUAUUUAUCAAGAUUUUUAUUUUCCCGCUGUCACGGUAACCGCGCAUUAAUCGACGCAUAAAUCAUCGUCUUGUCGUUGCCUCGUUACGAUUGCCGUAAUAUUUUUUAACGCACAACGAGAAGGAAUAUAAAAAAAUAGCGUAGAAUCGACGCGCACCGUCCUCCUUGUAAUUUUAGCCUGUCUGUUUCGACGAUGAAAUACGAUUGCCGCGUAUUUCGGACGAAAGUCUUGCGGCUUAAGGCGCGUUUAGACCGGCCCACCACCGCAACAUUGUGAAUAUUUCGGGCCUUGCCGGGCAAGAAACGAAUUUUCACUUUCUCCCCUCUGAAGUAAAUAAGUGAAGUAAAUAAUUUCAUCGUAAUUAUGUUUUAAUCGCGUCAAACUAUAUUUCAAUUGAAUAAUUUAAAUGAUUUAAAAAACGUAGAACAAACAGCAAUUCUUAUUACACAGCAUUGAAAAAAGUUCUCUCUCUUUUCUUUUAAAAAAGAUACAAGAAUUCGUUAAUUUCGUGGAUCUCGUUUAUUAAAAAAUGUUAUCACGAUGAACAAUAACAAUACUUCGUUCAAGAUCGAAUGGAAAAUAUAUAAAGAACAAUUAACACACCUACCUCAAACUUGAUCUAACUUAGUCCUACGAUUCAGAUUUCAACUCGCAUCAUACGGGAAGAGAAAGUGAGAUAAAUUUCUUAAUAGCCAUUCUAUUAUAAGCCAAAAGAAAGAGAAUUAACAGAUACGCAUAAAACAACAGUAAAAUGUUGCUACUCGAAAGACAAGCGACACACAACUUCAAAAUCGACGGGUCCCCCACGGGUUCUCUGGGACUAGUUCAACUUUCCUACGCGUGUUGUUGGGUCCUGAUUUAUCGAGUUGCCCGUGGACGUUUGCAUUCAAUUAAACCGUAUGAAUUCUCCAAUCUUUGAACUUUUCAAAGGGGGCGGCCAUCAAAAGGCAUAAAUCUCGGGCCACUUAGUGUCCUUUUAAAAUUUCCCCGGGCUCGAAUCGCGGGCAUUACUCAUUAGAUCCGCGUCGUCUAAACGCGGCUUUAAACCCCAAGUUAACGCAAGUCGAAAUAUCAUUGAGCGCCGCCGUAAAUCAUGCUGGCACGCACUAAAUUGCCGAGUCCCAUUUUGUCGGGAAACGGUGCGGAGGAAACGACAAUCGGACUAACUUAGAGGGACAGGGAGGGGAGGACUUUGUGAUUUAUAUCACGAAAAUGAUCAUAGUUGGCCCUCUGCAAUUUUUUAUUUCCUCUCACUCGACGAUAACAAAGUGGUAAUUUACCACUUUAGAAUACAUAAUUAUGAAUUUAAUGAAAAUAGAAAUAUAUACGUGUGUUACGUAUACAAUGCAUUUAUUUCGCAUUUCAUUGAACGGUGAACUUCGAGAACGAUGAAUUUUUCUUUAAAAAUUUUUCUCCAAGAUUAUGGAAUAAAACACUUUUUCCAAAAAAAAGAAGAAACGAUUCGCAAAUAACUCGCGAUCGUUCUCCUCCUGAAUUACCCAAUUUCCAGCAAGUUGAAAACAAAGUCAUAACCGUCGUCACGACGCGUUUCACCAAAAAAUACGCACCUUGAAUGGAGCCAACUGCGCAAUAUUCGCGGAACCAAAGAAACGCGCACCAACGAACGAACAUGGAAAUUCGCUCGUUAUUCUCUCUCUCUUUCUUCCCUACGAUCCCUCUCAAACUGAGAACCGACACAUCGCCACCCACUCGUAUCAGCUUCUCGCGACUCACUCUGCGAAAGAUGGACGAUACAUCCGAGAGGGUAGCGAGCAACGAAUCGGCAGAAUUUCAGCGGAAUAAUGGAGUGUAUCCUGGUGUUGCAAUAAUGAUACAGCUACAACGGCUACGUGUUUAUCUUGCCCGAUUGAAUCCACCGAUGAAAAAUGACCACGGUGUUACCAAGGGGGUCGUCCAGCGGUGUGAUCAUUGGAAUCGAGUGAACGGGCUCCAGAGGCGGCAUUAUCGCGCUUUAUUGUCAAUGUUGGCUCGUGCGCGUGCAGGUCCACCGUGGGAUGUUCCAUCGUGGGAAGAGGAGGCGUAAUAAGUCGAAAAGCCGGGGUUGCGUUUCUUUUAUUCGUCAUUUUUUCGAUCCUUCCUUUUCGACCGUUCGAAUUCUCUUUUUUAUUCCCUCCCUUUCUCUUUUUCUCCGAGGUUGAGCCAGAUGGGUUUGCGCACCUUUCGAGAGCUGGUUCGUGACUCGGAUCGAAAAUAAUCCGGGAAAAAACGGCGAAAGAAACCGAUCGAAGCUGAGUUUCGGGAAGAUUCAAGAUGACAGGAGCGAUUAAACCUGUGGUUAUGGAUUUUAUAUUUUUUUUUAUUAAAAUCGUAAUGUUAGUUUUCGAUUCGUCGUUUCUUACGAAUUUCUUUGCAGGUGUUCCUCUGUGCAAAUAUCGUUAUGGAUAAAAUUAAGGAAAUUUGUUUAGAUAACGUGUGAUAUAUCUAG